UUGGGAUCCUUUCACUUGAGAAAGUUUUGAGAUCAUUCUGCCACCAGAAACCAGAUGAGAGCUGAUGGGCAGAAUGGCCUCCUCUCAUUCAUACAUUUCUUACGGUCUUAUUAGAUCAACAAUUUGUUUUCUACCUUUCACCGCUACAGGAGGGGUCAUGGUAUUGGACCGAUGGAUCUAAAUGGGACUACAACAAUUGGAACAAGGGAGAACCAAAUAAUUAUGGAAUCGAAAAUUGUCUGCAAUUUAACUUUCCAGUUCCUGGAGGUUGGAAUGACGUGGCCUGUAAUAAUUUGUUUCCAUCUGUCUGUGUGUCUAAAGGGUCACGUGCAUAAAUCUCUGAAACAGAAUGUCAACUUUUUGACAGUUCUGAUUGUUAAAUAAAAUUAUGCAGCAUUCA